rnacentral:lncRNA from 1 species
AACUGUUUCAGAUUUUAUUUUAGAAUUUAUAAAAUUCCAGUGUCAUCCAUAUUCAUGAGCCUUUUUACACGUUUGCAUAUAAUCUCCAAAUUCCAAAGUUAAGGCCAAGGGAUCGUUGCCAUGGAAACAUAGGAUAUGGAAGACAUUAAAAACGAGAAAUGGGACAGACAAUCCCCCUCCCCCUGCCCGGGAUGCUUACCGCACGCGGGGGGCAGCGAGGAGACAAAGUACUAGGUACAAUCAUUUUCUGACCUUUAUUUUUAAAGGGGGAGGGCGGGAGGGGCAGGGGCGAGCCCCGAGAAUUUGGAAGGGGGCUUACAAAUAUGCCGCUAGGAAUCAAACUCGCAUCUAAGACAUUUAGCAGUUAAUGGAGAUGUGCAAAAGGUUUGCAAGAGUAUUUAAUUUACUUGGGGAGGAGGGGGUGAUGGCUGUGGACGAUGGACCGUGACAAGAAUCGAGGGGAGGGACGGGGCGCGAGGAUCCGGGGGAAGGGCAGGCAACAGGAAAGGUUUUCAAACACUUGCAGAAAGAAGAGAAGGGGAAAGAUGGGGACAACGGACCCCCCCGCCUUCCCCUUGGGGUACCUUCGAGACAUGGGGACACUCUCUUCUGGAAGACCCAAGUCUGUCUGCUCCCUACAAGAAGUUCCACCUUUAGCUGGGGACCCACACUCACUCCUCCCCUACUCGCCAUUCCGGCCCACGAGCAGACUCAAGACGGGUUCUAACCACAGGGGAGUUUUGCCAGGGAACCUCCAGGCGAAGGGUCGUUCGAAACUCUCAGGAGGAAUCUAAGCAAAGGGGACGACACUUCACAAGUGUUUCAGCAAGGAGCUGGGAGGAGACUGAAACGGAGGGCCUCGCCCUAGGAAACGGGACUGGGGAAGAGGGGCCCGUCGGCUCUUUGGGGACUCCCGGGAUUAGAGAUGGGGGAGCCGCCUCCUGAGGCCCCUCCAAAGAAGCCCCGACCGCUUAGGGGACUGUGGCCAACAAAAAGAAUUACAAACUUAGAGUCUAAAUCAAGAGGCCAGGGGCAGGAGACCCCACCACGCUGGCUUCUGAGGUAGAAAGAAGGCAAUCGGGAAUAGUGUUGGUUCUGUCUUGUUCUGGGGGAGGGAGGGCAGGGACCGGAGGAGGUGAAGUAAGAGAGAGAGAGAGAGA